rnacentral:rRNA from 1 species
GCUUGCAGUUAUAUCACCUCCAGGUCUCAACUUCUACCCACUGAAGCGCAGCAGGGUUGAACUUGGUCAGUACCUGGAUGGGAGACCUCCUGGGAAGCAAUGGUUGCUGCUGGAA